rnacentral:lncRNA from 1 species
GACAAACAAUUCCAUCAACAAUCUUUCAUCUUGACGCCACUGAGUGCAGUGAAAUCAAGGGUUCGUUACUCUCUCCAAACCUAGAGCUCCCAACAAGCUGAAACGAUAUCUGGGGCUGGAUGGUACUUACAAUAUAACAAUCCUGGGCCUACAAACUCACAUGGAUCUUAUAAAUGAACAGCGGUGUUGGAAGAACCUGGCGCUACUCCUGACCUGAUCAUACCAACUUAACUUGUA